AGUGAACGCUGGCGGUAGGCCUAACACAUGCAAGUCGAACGGCAGCACAGUAAGAGCUUGCUCUGACGGGUGGCGAGUGGCGGACGGGUGAGGAAUACAUCGGAAUCUACUUUUUCGUGGGGGAUAACGUAGGGAAACUUACGCUAAUACCGCAUACGACCUACGGGUGAAAGCAGGGGAUCUUCGGACCUUGCGCGAUUGAAUGAGCCGAUGUCGGAUUAGCUAGUUGGCGGGGUAAAGGCCCACCAAGGCGACGAUCCGUAGCUGGUCUGAGAGGAUGAUCAGCCACACUGGAGCUGAGACACGGUCCAGACUCCUACGGGAGGCAGCAGUGGGGAAUAUUGGACAAUGGGCGCAAGCCUGAUCCAGCCAUACCGCGUGGGUGAAGAAGGCCUUCGGGUUGUAAAGCCCUUUUGUUGGGAAAGAAAAGCAGCAGGUUAAUACCCCGCUGUUCUGACGGUACCCAAAGAAUAAGCACCGGCUAACUUCGUG
rnacentral:rRNA from 1 species